rnacentral:rRNA from 1 species
UCAGCGGCGAACGGGUGAGUAACACGUGGGUGACCUUCCCCAAAGACGGGGAUAACUCUUGGAAACAGGGGCUAAUACCCGAUGUGCUCAGCAGUUCACUCUGUUGAGUAAAGCUAUGGCGCUUUGGGAUGGGCCCGCGGCCCAUCAGCUAGUUGGUAGGGUAAAGGCCUACCAAGGCUAAGACGGGUAGGGGGCGUGAGAGCGCGAUCCCCCACACUGGCACUGAGACACGGGCCAGACUCCUACGGGAGGCAGCAGUGAGGAAUAUUGCGCAAUGGACGAAAGUCUGACGCAGCGACGCCGCGUGGGCGAUGAAGGCCUUCGGGUCGUAAAGCCCUUUUCUGGGGGAAGAGAAAGGACGGUACCCCAGGAAUAAGCCCCGGCUAACUACGUGCCAGCAGCCGCGGUAAAACGUAGGGGGCAAGCGUUAUCCGGAUUUACUGGGCGUAAAGAGCGUUGAGGCGGUUUUGUAAGUUGGGCGUGAAAGCCCUGGGCUUAACUCAGGGAAGCCGUUCAAUACUGCGAAACUUGAGGGCAGCAGAGGGAGGUGGAAUUCCCGGAGUAGCGGUGAAAUGCGUAGAUAUCGGGAGGAACACCAGUGGCGAAGGCGGCCUCCUGGGCUGCUCCUGACGCUGAAGGCGAAAGCUAGGGGAGCGAACGGGAUUAGAAACCCCGGUAGUCCUAGCCGUAAACGAUGGAUGCUAGGUGUGGGGGGUGUAGAUUCCCUCCGUGCCGCAGUUAACGCGUUAAGCAUCCCGCCUGGGGAGUACGGCCGCAAAGCUAAAACUCAAACGAAUUGACGGGGGCCCGCACAAGCAGCGGAAGCGUGUGGUUAAUUCGAUGCUACA